rnacentral:tRNA from 21 species
AGGCGGUUAGCUCAGAUGGUUAGAGCGCUUGCUUGACAUGCAAGAGGUCGUUGGUUCGAUUCCAAUACCGCCUACCA